AAAACUGGAAGGCAAAAAGGUAUCAACAAGUCAAUCACAUAAAUCUAAUUAACUGUUUACAAACCCUAGAAUCAGAAAAGUAAACUAGCUAGACAUCAGGAAAUAAAUUAAAAAUAUAAUAAAUAAGAAAGCAGUAAAAUAAAUGAAAUUGAUAAAACCCGGAAAUAAUUCUAAAUGAAUGGCUUGAAUCUUGAAGUCUUCCAGAAAAUAAAUCUA
rnacentral:lncRNA from 1 species